AACCGAGUCCUGUACGACCCUGCACUGUGAACCUUGUCAGAUGGGGAACCAAGCAGCAAUAAGCAGAACGCCGGGUGCGAUACAGAUCAACUCGGUUUGA
rnacentral:SRP_RNA from 1 species